rnacentral:rRNA from 1 species
UAGGCGAUGGAUAACAGGUUGAUAUUCCUGUACCCGUUGUUUUUGUUUGAGCAAUGGAGGGACGCAGGAGGCUAAGGAAUGCAGACGAUCGGAAAUGUCUGUCCAAGCAGCAAGUCUGAAGAGGAGUUAAAUGCUUCUUUUCUUAAGGACAAGCUGUGAUGGGGAGGGAAAUAAUAGUACCGAAGUUCCUGAUGUCACACUGCCGAGAAAAGCUUCUAGUGAGAAAACAGCGGCCCGU